GAACUAACCCUAGCCCUAGCAACAUAAAACAUAAUUAUUUAAUUAACUAAACCAAAACAUUUAAACCACUUAAAGUAUUGGAGAAAGAAAUAUAUAAACACCUCUAGGAGCCAUAGAACUAGUACCGUAAGGGAAAGAUGAAAGACUGGUUUAAAGUACAAAUAAGCAAAGAUUAAACCUUGUACCUUUUGCAUAAUGAAUUAACUAGAAAACUUCUAACUAAAAGAAUUAUAGCUAGAGACCCCGAAACCAAACGAGCUACCUAAAAACAAUUUUAUGGAUUAACCCGUCUAUGUGGCAAAAUAGUGGGAAGAUUUUUAGGUAGAGGUGAAAAGCCUAACGAGCUUGGUGAUAGCUGGUUACCCAAAAAAUGAAUUUAAGUUCAACUUUAAACUUACUAAAUAAACGAUAAAAUAUAAAGCAAGUUUAAAAUAUAGCCGAAAGAGGGACAGCUCUUUUGGAACGGAAAAAACCUUUAAUAGUGAAUAAAUAACUAAAUAACCUUUAACCAUUGUAGGCCUAAAAGCAGCCACCAAUAAAGAAAGCGUUCAAGCUCAACAUAAAAUCUCUAACUAAUUUUACAACAUUCAAUAACUUCCCAAACUCAAAAUUGGGUUAAUCUAUAAUUCUAUAGAUGAAACACUGUUAAUAUGAGUAACAAGAAUUCUAAUUCUCCUAGCAUAAGUGUAUAACAACCCGGAUAACCAUUGUUAAUUAAUCAGAUUAUAGAUUUUAUCUACACAAUAAAAAUAUCUAAAACCACUCUGUUAACCCAACACCGGAAUGCCUUAAGGAAAGAUUAAAAUAGAUAAAAGGAACUCGGCAAGCAAGGACCCCGCCUGUUUACCAAAAACAUCACCUCUAGCAUCACAAGUAUUAGAGGCACUGCCUGCCCAGUGACUAAAGUUCAACGGCCGCGGUAUCCUGACCGUGCAAAGGUAGCAUAAUCACUUGUUCCUUAAUUAGGGACUAGCAUGAACGGCUAAACGAGGGUUCAACUGUCUCUUAUCUCCAAUCAGUGAAAUUGACCUUUCAGUGAAGAGGCUGGAAUAUAUUAAUAAGACGAGAAGACCCUAUGGAGCUUAAAUUGUAUAACUUAACUAUUUAAAUUAUAAAUCCAAUGACCCAAAAACUAUAGCAUAAGUUAGAAAUUUCGGUUGGGGUGACCUCGGAGAACAAAAAAUCCUCCGAAUGAUUAUAACAUAGACCAACAAGUCAAAGUAAAAAUAACUUAUCUUAUUGACCCAAUAUAUCUUUUGAUCAACGGACCAAGUUACCCUAGGGAUAACAGCGCAAUCCUAUUUAAGAGUUCAUAUCGACAAUUAGGGUUUACGACCUCGAUGUUGGAUCAGGACAUCCCAAUGGUGUAGAAGCUAUUAAUGGUUCGUUUGUUCAACGAUUAAAGUCCUACGUGAUCUGAGUUCAGACCGGAGUAAUCCAGGUCGGUUUCUAUCUAUUUACAAUUUCUCCCAGUACGAAAGGACAAGAGAAAUAGAGCCACCUUACAAAUAAGCGCUCUUAACUUAAUUUAUGAAUUAAUCUAAAUAAAAUAUACAUGUACAACCUUAAACCUAGUAAAGGUUAU
rnacentral:rRNA from 1 species